AACGCGAAGAACCUUACCUAAGCUUGACAUCCUUUUGACCGAUGCCUAAUCGCAUUUUUCCCUUCGGGGACAAAAGUGACAGGUGGUGCAUGGUUGUCGUCAGCUCGUGUCGUGAGAUGUUGGGUUAAGUCCCGCAACGAGCGCAACCCUUGCCUUUAGUUGCCAGCAUUAAGUUGGGCACUCUAGAGGGACUGCCAGGGAUAACCUGGAGGAAGGUGGGGAUGACGUCAAAUCAUCAUGCCCCUUAUGCUUAGGGCUACACACGUGCUACAAUGGGUGGUACAGAGGGCAGCCAAGUCGUGAGGCCGAGCUAAUCCCUUAAAGCCAUUCUCAGUUCGGAUUGUAGGCUGAAACUCGCCUACAUGAAGCUGGAGUUACUAGUAAUCGCAGAUCAGAAUGCUGCGGUGAAUGCGUUCCCGGGCUUGUACACACCGCACUACUA
rnacentral:rRNA from 1 species